ensembl:snoRNA
AGGUCAUUUCAAAGAGAGCUUGUGGGACUAGGAUCUUUUUAACACUGUGACCAAUGACUGAAGUUCUCCAUAGGAUGUAACAGUCACUCAGUAGUACUAUGUUUUCCCGAGGAGAUAUAAAA